CACACGGCUCUGCUGGUGACCUGGAUUCCCA
rnacentral:piRNA from 1 species